AACGAACGCUGGCGGCAUGCCUAACACAUGCCAGUCGAACGAAACCGCCGGGUCUAUGUGCGCACGGCUGCGGAACGCGGGGUAAGCUACCCUUAGGUUCGCUGUACCUCACCUAAAGGGGAGCUAAUAACGCAGAAGGUCUUCCCACCAAAGAUCUAUUGCGGUUGGAUGGGCGCUCGUUGGAUUCGGUGGUUGGUAGGGUAAAAGCAUACCAAGGGCACGAUGCUUGGCUGGUCGGAGAGGAUGAUCAGCCACACUUGAGCUGAGACCCGGCCCAGACUGGUACGGAAGGGAGGAGUGGGUAAUAUUGGACGAUGGGCGAAGGCCUGAUACAGCAAUGCCGGGUGAGUGAUGAAGGGCUUAGGGUUGUAAAGCUCUUUUACCCGGGAUGAUAAUGACAGUACCGGGUGAAUAAGCACCGGCUAACUACGUG
rnacentral:rRNA from 1 species